rnacentral:lncRNA from 1 species
ACCUUUGAGUUACACAAUUUAUCAGAAAGGAAAAUAUGGUUUCCUUUGUGUGGGUUAAAAAUCAUAAAGUGAGGCAUUUUCCCUAUAUUUCCAGCAGAAGCAAACUGGUCAGUGCAAAAGUUCACUAAAUGGAUUGUUUAGUCCUUCAUAUGAACAGGAUUAUUACAACUUGACCAGCUUGGAUUUAACAUUGUUCUUAGGUUAAUAUUAACUAGGAAACCAUGAUAAAAACAUAGACUUUUUGAAAACUAUUGGCAGUGUUUGGCCCGCCUUUUAAUUAGAGAUUUCUACUACUCUUCCCCCUCCAUUCAUUUCCAUUUCACACAUUCAUACUAUUAUAAACAUAAAAUUACAUUAUUACAAACAGAGCAUUCUUACAUUACAAAAUUACAUUAUUACAAACAUUAUUACAAACAGAGCACCUCCUCUUAUUUAUGCAUGAUGCCUAACUAUCAGUUUUAUGUUAUUUAAUCUUUGAAAUAUUUUAUAAGUAUUAUUAUUCUCAGUGUGCUGAUGUAGAUAUUGAGGCUUUGGUGAGUAAAAUUAUUUGUUCAAGUUUGCACAGCUAAUAAGUGACAGAACUUGGAUUCAUACCUAAGGUGGAUCAACUCCAAUACUUUUAAAUAUCACUUUGCGCUACAAUGUACUGAUAUAUCUCUAUCUAUCAACUUAUUUAAUUAUCCUAUUGAAGAGAGUUUAUAUAAAAUAUUAAUAUGUUACGUGCAUAUAAUACAGUAAUUCACAAUUUUUAAAGGUUAUAUGCAUUUUACCCUUUGGGUCUUUUUAGGGCUGUACCUGCAGCAUAUGGAGAUUCUCAGGCUAGGGGUCAAAACAGAGCUACAGCUGCUGGCCUAUGUCACAGCCACAACAAUACCAGAUCUAAGCUGCAUCUGCAAUGUACAUCACAGUUCAUGGCAAUGCUGGAUCCUUAACCCCUAACCCCCUGGGCAAGGCCAGGGAUCAAAUACGAAUCCUCAUGGGUGAUGAGCCACCAUGGGAACUCCUAUAUUCUAUUUAUAAUUAGUAUAAAAUGCUGGCUAAAUUCCCUGUGAUGUGUAAUAUAUCCUUGUAGUUUGUUUUAUACAUAAUAAUUUGGAUGUCUUAAUCUCCGACUUCUAUACCCACCUUCCUACCUCCCUCUCCCUACUGGUAACCAUGAGUUUGUUCUCUCUAUGAGUUUCUUUAUUGUUAUGUUUACUAAUUUGUUUUAUUUUUUAGAUUCCACACAUAAGUGGUAUACAGUAGUUAGUUGUCUUUUGUACAUGACUUAUUUCACUUAGCAUAAUACUCCCAAGUUCAUACGUGUUGUUGUAAAUAGCAAAAUUUCAUUCUACUUAAUAGCUGAGUAGUAUUCCAUCAUAUGUAUGUAUAUACAUUAUAUACACAUGUAUGUAUGCACAUUAUAUACAUAUAUAUGUAUGUGUAUGUAUAUGUGUGUGUGUGUAUUCAUUAAUCUGUUGAUCUUCUUUAUCCAUUUAUCUGUUUAUGGACAUUUAAGUUGCUUCCAUGUCUUGGCAAUUGUAAUUAUACUGCUAUGAACAUAUAGAUGUGUAUAUCUUUUCAAAUUGGUGUUUUUGUUUAUUUUGGGUAUAUACACAGGAGAGGAACUGCUGGGCCAUAGGAUAGUUCUAUUUUUAGUCUUUUGAGAAACCUCCAUCCUGUUUCCCUCAGUGGUUGCAGCAAUUUACAUUCCCACCAACAGUGUACAGGUGUUCUUUCCUCCAAAUCUUCACCAAUAUUUUUUAUUUGUAUUGUUUUUAAAUAUUUUUCAACAUUUCUUUUUCUUUUUCUUUUUUUAUUUUUUGUCUUCUUGUCUUUUUGUCUUUUUAGGGCCUCACUUGUGGCAUAUGGAGGUUCCCAGGCUAGGGGUCUAAUCAGCCACCAGCCUAGGCCACAGCCACAGCCAUGCCAGAUCCCAGCCACAUCUGCAAACUACACCACAGCUCAUGGUAACGCCAGAUCCUUAACCCACUGAUCAAGGCCAGGGGUUGAACCCGCAACUUCAUCGUUCCUAGUUGGAUUCAUUUCUACUGCACCACUAUGGGAACUCCCUUUAUCUGUAUUCCUUGAUGAUAGCCAUUCUGACAAUUGUGAAGUGAUAUCUCAUUGUGGUUUUUGUUUCUCUUUUUUGUUUUUUAGGCCACACCCAUGGCAUAUGGAAGUUCCCAGGCUAGGCGUUGAAUCAGAGCUGCAGCUGCCCAACAUAUGCCACAGUCACAGGAACACCAGAUCUGAGCCAUGUCUGCAACUUACACCUCAUCUCACAGCAAUGCCAGAUCCUUUAAUCCAUGAGCAAGGCCAGGGAUAGAAACUGCAUCCUCAUGGAUAAUAGUCGGAUUCAUUACCACUGAGCCAAAAUGGGAAUUCCUCAUUGUGGUUUUGAUAUUCGUUUCCCUGAUGAUUAGUGAUAUUGAAUAUCUUUCAUGUGCCUGUUAGCCAUCUUCAUAUUCUUUUGGAAAAAUGUCUACUCAGGUCUUCUUUUACUUUUUCUUUUGUUUUGGCUGCACCCAUGACAAUCAGAAGUUCUUGGGCCAGGGAUUGAACCCAUGUCACAGCAGUAACCUGAGCCACAACAGUGAUAUUUCCAAGUUCUUAACCUACUGAGCCAUGAGGGGACUCCAGUUUCCCAUCCAUUUUCUUUUUUUUUUUUUUCUGUAUUUUUAGGGCUAUACCCACGGAAUAUGGAGGUUCCCAGGCUAGGGGUCAAAUCAGAGCUAUGGCCACUGGCCUACACCACAGCCACAGCAACACAAGAUAAGAGCUGCAUCUGUGACCUACAGCACAGCUCACAGCAAUGCCAUAUCCUUAACCCACUGAGAGAGCCCAGGAAUCGAACCUGCAUCCACAUGAAUGCUAGUCAGAUUUGUUUCUACUGAACAUGACGAGGACUCUGAGUUUUCUGUCCAUUUUUAAAUUGGGUUGUUGAGGGAGUUCCCAUCAUGGCUCAGUGGAAAUGAAUCUGACAAGAAUCCAUGAGGAUACAGGUGAUCUGGCAUUGCUGUGAGCUGUGGUAUAGGUUGCAGAUGCAGCUCAGAUCCCAUGUUUCUGUGGCUGUGGUAUAGGCCAGUAGCUAUAGCUCCAAUUUCCCCUCUAUCCUGGGAAAUUCCAUAUGCUGCCGGUGCAGCCCUAAAAAUAAAUAAAUAAACAAAUUGGGUUGUUGACUUGUGUGAGCAUUUAGCUAUUUUGAAUAUUGACCACUUAUACGACAUAUCAUUCACUGCAAUUAAUUUUAAAUAAACUGUUAUUUAAAGAGAGAUGUUCUCUGAGGUUGGUGGUUUCUAACUUUUACAGACUUUCUGACAGCCACAAUCAAUGGGAUAUUUUAAAGUGUUUAUUGAUAUAUCAUAUACAUACAUUAUAUUUCACCUUGUUCAUGUGUAUAUUUCUAUGAAUUCUGACUGAGCUGUGUAAAUACCAUUAGCAUCAAAACACAAACCAUGUCCUUCACCCAUAAAAGUUUCAUUGUUUUUUGGGGGGACCCACACCUACGGAGUGAAAUUCCUGGGUCAGGGACUAAACCUGAGCCACAAUAAUGAUAAUGUCAAAUCCUUCACUGCUAGGCCACCAGGGAGAUCCUGUUUUUUUUUUGUUUGUUUGUUUGUUUGUUGUUUUUUUUUUUCAAAUAAACUUUUUACUGGAGUUCCUGGUGUGGUGCAGGGCACUGAGAAUCUAACUGCAACAGCUUGAGUUGCUGCAGAAGAGCAGGUUCAAUCCCCAUUUCCCUUACUGUUAUACCUUAUGUUAGUAUGGAACAGUUGUCAUCUUCUCUUCCAGCAUCCAUUCCAGGACAUCACAUUGUAAUUACUCAUCAUAUCUCCUUAGGCUCCUAGACUGUGACAGUUUCUUAGAUGUUUCUUUCCUUGGUUCUGAUGACCUUGACAAUUUUGAAACUACUGGUCAGAUGUUUUGUUGACUGUCCCUCAACUGGGAUUUGUCUGAUGAUUUUCUCAUGUUUAGAUUGGUGUCAUGAGUUUUUAGGAAAAAAUAUAGAGAGAUAAAGUACCAUUCUCAUAUCAUGUCAAGAGUGCAUGCUAUCAACAUGACUUUUAUCAUUGUUGACUUUAAUCACUUAGGUGACAUACUGUUUGUCAGGUUUCUCUGCUGUAAAGAUAUUCUUUCCUCCACUUUCCAUAGUGUGUUCUUUAGAAGAAGAUCACUGUGUAAAGCUUAAGGGAUAGGAAGCAAUACUUCACAUUUCUUGGGGUGGCAGUGGGAGAAUAUAGAUAAAACACUUGAGAUUCUUCUGUACGGGAUAUCUCUUUACUCCCCUCCAAUGGUUAAUUUAUUUAAUUAUUGAUUUAUAUGAUUCAAAGAUAUUUAUUGUAUAGUUUAGGAUAUAAUCUAAUACUGUGCUUUAAAUUUUGUUACUCAUUGUUGUAGCACAGCUUUUUCUGCUGACUCCUGUGUCCCUCUGACAUAUGCCCAUCAUUGAUUUGGUUUGGUUUGGUUUGGUUUUUAGCACCAUUUUUGCUCUCUGUCACUAUGAGCUGUUCCAGGAUAAUAGUAUAUAGUCCCCAUUCAAGCCCUGGAGUCAACCAUUUCUUCAAGGAAUUCUCAUUAGUUUUAUUAGAGAAACCAAGAUCUGGGUGGAAUGGGCUUAUUGUUCUUGAGAUGUUGUUUCAAGGCUUCUUGCAGAUCAUUGAGAAGGAAAUAUCUACAUAUACUAAAUCAAUUAUUUACACAUAUCUGUAGAUAAUUCUGUAUAUUUUAUGCUAAACAUGAGUUCAUACCUAUAUAUUUAAUUGUAAGUUAUUACAGCGUGGUUCAUUCUCACCUCCAUGGCUUGCCUAGAAUCCCCAACACAACAGCGAGAAACUGGCUCCCACUAUCUGCCAUCCCUUUACUUAGCUGUUCAAUUUUCAGUUUACAUAUAUAGGGUUUUCUGAAUUGUUAACCUGUACCCGGUGGGAACCAAUUUCACUAACUAGAAUAGAGUACUUAUUUGCAUUUCAUGUGCCUUUGGUCUUAUACCCUCUGCUCAUUUCCAAAGUUAAUUGUGCUGAUCUUUUAGAAGAAAAUAUUUCAACUAGGAUAACAAAAUGGUUUUAUUUAAUGUACAACUACAUUAUGAAGAGUUUAAAAACCACCAAAUUACUUGUAAUCAUGAGUAUAUAGUCAUGAAAUUGUUUUAGAGAAACAGCUUUCUUUGAAUAUUCUAAUAUUAGAGUAGCUAUUUUCAAAUUCUUAGCUUAUUUUAUAUUUUUAGUUUCCUGGUUUCUUUUUAGACAAUGCAUGGUUAAAAGUAGAAUUAUAUGUUCAAGUGGUUGAUAGUAAGAGGAAGUUUAAAAUAUUUCUUAUAGUCUUUCCUUAUUAUUUAUCUUCUCAUGGACUUAAAGUAUGUAUCUUUGAGCAUUUAAAAAGGACUCCAAAUAUCAACUGGAAACUGACACAAAAAAUAUGACUUUAAAAAAUUCAUCUUUAAUAGAAAUUAAAUAAAUAUCUACAGUUUUAGUAAUAAGAUGGCAUUCUCCAGAAAAUAUUAAGCUUCAUGAUAUUUUAUCACCUGAAUUAGGAAAUCCCAACAAAUUCAGAGAUAUCUUCUACCAGAGGAGUCUGAUAAGAUGCUAUUACCCACUUGAACUGUAAAGAGAAAUUUCAUCUCAUAAUAUUCUUUCUGAAAUUCUCUUUUGGAAGCCCAAGGGAUUGUUUUUCACAUAGUUCAGAAACAAUGUAAAUUAAAAUCGAAAAAAUUUAAUGAUUAGACUGCUUUAUUUUCUACAAAAGUCAGGCUGGAUGUCAGGAUUGGACUCUAGUUUUAUAAAAUCAAUUAUAUAUACAUGCUGGAAUGGUAUCUGAGAUUAAGGCAAAUAGAAUGAGCAGGGCAUCAAGGAUGCCACAUUCAAAAAGAGCAAACCUUUCGCUGAAUAUCGGAUAUAAAACAUUCAGGAGCCUACACUGAGGAAAUCAUCUUUUGAUUAAAAAUUAAUGAUUUUUAUUUAUAAAAUGACUAGCUUUGAGGUUUUAUAUAUUCAUACCUUCAAGGGUUUCUCAGAUAUUUCAAGUAUAUUCAAGUUUUUACAAUGAAGAUUCAUUUUAAAUUAAAGAUGUAUUCCUUCCAGAAACAUUUUAAAGUAGUUUGUAGUACGAAGUGGGGCUCCAAAGGGAAACAAUUGCCUUGAGAACUCUAUCAGGUGGGCCUUCUGUGUCUCAACAGGAUUCAAAGGAAAUGGAUGAGGGAAACUGCAAUGAUUAGAACUGCCUGUGACCUUCUCAGGAUACAAACAUUGAUAUAUGUGGAAAAGUUCUAGUUCCAUAAAAGCAUGAUUUGAUGCAUGGUUAAAAACAUAAAGGUGAGUAUGGAUUUGCUUUUGAGUCAAACCACAAUGGCCACAGUGCCUGCCUUUCUCUUUUUCAGCCAAACAAGCAUUCUGUUGAAGGCUUUACUCUUUGCUUCCACAUAAUUCCUUGAUUUGAAUAUCCUAGACUAGACUUUGGUCAUGCAAAUCUAAAUCCAUCAUGGACAGAGU